ACGGUCCAGACUCCUACGGGAGGCAGCAGUGGGGAAUAUUGCACAAUGGGCGCAAGCCUGAUGCAGCCAUGCCGCGUGUAUGAAGAAGGCCUUCGGGUUGUAAAGUACUUUCAGCGAGGAGGAAGGCGUUAAGGUUAAUAACCUUGGCGAUUGACGUUACUCGCAGAAGAAGCACCGGCUAACUCCGUGCCAGCAGCCGCGGUAAUACGGAGGGUGCAAGCGUUAAUCGGAAUUACUGGGCGUAAAGCGCACGCAGGCGGUCUGUUAAGUCAGAU
rnacentral:rRNA from 1 species